rnacentral:lncRNA from 13 species
AUGCUCAAUUCUGAUGCAUACUCGUUAUCGUUACUCGUUAUCGUUACUCGUUAUCGUUACUCGAUAUCGUUACUCGUUAUCGUUACUCAAUAUCGUUACUCGUUAUCGUUACUCGCUAUCAUUGCUCGUUAUCGCUACUCAUUAUCUCUUGCUCGUUAUCGUUGCUGGCUAUUGUUACUCAUUAUCGUUACUCGUUAUCGUUGCUCACUAUUGUUACUCCUUAUCGUUACUCGUUAUCGUUACUCGAUAUCGUUGCUCAUUAUCGGUACUCAUUAUCAUUACUUGUUAUCGUUACUCGCUAUCAUUACUCGUUAUCGCUACUCAUUAUCUCUUGCUCGUUAUCGUUGCUCGCUAAUGUUACUCAUUAUCUCUUGCUCGUUAUCGUUGCUCGCUAAUGUUACUCAUUAUCGUUACUCGUUAUCGUUGCUCGCUAUUGUUACUCCUUAUCGUUACUCGUUAUCGUUACUCGAUAUCGUUGCUCGCUAUUGUUACUCCUUAUCGUUACUCGUUAUCGUUACUCGAUAUCGUUGCUCGCUAUUGUUACUCAUUAUCGUUACUCGUUAUCGUUGCUCGCUAAUGUUACUCAUUAUCGUUACUCGUUAUCGUUGGUCAUUGUGUAUUUAUUAUUACUUUUCUAUUAAUUCUCUCUGCAUUGUUGGGAAGGUCCAGUCAGUAAGCAUUUCACUGUUAGUCUACACCUGUUGUUGGGAAGGUCCAGUCAGUAAGCAUUACCCUGUUAGUCUACACCUGUUGUUGGGAAGGUCCAGUCAGUAAGCAUUUCACUGUUAGUCUACACCUGUUGUUUACCAAGCAUGUGACGAAUACAAAUUGUACUUUAUUUGAUACUGUCCAAUUUAUAUGUAUCGAUUGGUUUCAUUUCCCUGUCCAAUUUGUACGGCUUAAUUGGUUUGAUUAGGUGUCAUAAGAGUUCUACCAGGCAAAGAGUUCAGCAUCUCAUAAUGUCUAACAGUUUAGCUGAGAUGAGUCUGAGUGAUUCUUAUUCGAUACCAUCCAAGUCAUGUGAUGCUCCACUGCACGUUUUCCUGAAUCAGUUCCGUUGUCCCUAUAGUAUUGUCUCUUGAAGAAGCCAGAAGGACAACAAAAUGACAUUGCAGAUCAGAUGUUAACAUUUGUAACACUGAGACGACUAGAGGAUUUUAUGAGAAUCCUAGGCGACUGUAGCAUCCGUAAGAAAUGAUCGGGCCAGUACCUACCUGGCUAACACGCUGCUGUCUUCUGAAACAAAACGUGGUCGAUCACUACGCAGCAUCAUUCUUAUUCAACAGUCUCACGUUCCACACUACGUUAAUGAAGUGAGAUCAGGGCAGAAAAAAUACCACGUUCAAAAUAAUUGAAUUGAGAUGACAUUUUCUGUUAACACUAAUAUCCCCCCUACUACGUUUUCCUUUUCCCCUAUAGCUUUGUCUUGUACUAAGUGUCUAGCAUGAGUGUCUUUGUGUUCCCUCCCUAACCAACCAGGCUUUUAUAGAAAUGGCUUCUGAAGAGGCAGCGAUCACCAUGGUGAACUACUACACCACAGCAACACCUCACGUACGCAACCAGCCAGUCUACAUCCAGUACUCCAACCACCGCGAGCUCAAGACAGACAACCUGCCCAAUCAGGGGGUGAGUAUAGUCCAACCUGCCCAAUCAGGGGUUGAGUACAGUCCAACCUGCCCAAUCAGGGGCUAAGUACAAUCCAACCUGCCCAAUCAGGGGCUGAGUAUAGUCCAACCUGACCAAUCAGGGGUUGAGGACAGUCCAACCUGACCAAUCAGGGGUUGAGUACAGUCCAACCUGACCAAUCAGAGGGUGAGUACAGUCCAACCUGCCCAAUCAGGGGGUGAGCACAGUGUUACCUGGCCAAUCAGG